rnacentral:rRNA from 1 species
UACGAAGGGUGCAAGCGUUAAUCGGAAUUACUGGGCGUAAAGGGUGCGUAGGCGGUUAGUUAAGUCUGGUGUGAAAUCCCCGGGCUCAACCUGGGAAUGGCAAUGGAUACUGGCUGGCUAGAGUGUGUCAGAGGAUGGUGGAAUUCCCGGUGUAGCGGUGAAAUGCGUAGAGAUCGGGAGGAACAUCAGUGGCGAAGGCGGCCAUCUGGGACAACACUGACGCUGAAGCACGAAAGCGUGGGGAGCAAACAGG